CUGGAUUUCAGAACUUCCAGGGCGUGACACUGGCUCAGCUCAUUCUGUUCUGUAAGGAGAAGUAGCCACAGGAAGUGCCUGAAGUCCUGAGGGCAAGUCCCCAAGUAAAGACAUAGCUCUCACCACAUCUCACUUCUUUAAGACUCCAUCACCUUUCAGUGCUGCUGCUGUUGUGAUGGCUACGCUUGGUUGUCAACUUGACUAUAUCUGGGAUAGACUAUAUCCAGAAAUGGAGGGCACACUUGUGACCCAGAUCUUGAGGCAGGAAGACAGCAUGGCUUUGAUUCCCAUCUUGAGGCAGGAAGAUGGCAUGGCUUUGAUCCAGACCUGGCUGAAGGCACACGUUUAAUCUGGGCCACACCUUCGGCUGGAAGCUUACACAUUGGGACAGUGGAAGGAGGAAGGGUUUGUUCUUUGCCUGCUUUCCCUCAUGUUGUCAGCUCAUCUCUUCCUUCACUGGCAUUGGCAUUGGAGGCUACUUCUUCAGGAUUCCAGAAUAUCCACAGAAGACAGCUGAGACACCCAGCCUCACGAGACAGAGCAACCACGAGAUUCUUGGGCUUUCUAUUCACAACUAGACAUUGCUGGACUGCAGGCUGCCCGCUUCCUCUGUACUGACGUACCAAGUGAAAACAGGCUUCUAAUGUUCUCAAAAAAGCAAGGCUCCAUUUGUCUAGAUGUGAAGUUGCCUUAAAAAUGUUGACAAUAGGUACUCACACAUGGGAGCACCGAGGAUCAGGCUUUUGCGUCUGUGAUAAUUACUCCCAAUCAUCAACCUGAUUGGAUCUGGACUCAGCUAAAAGAUGCCCGCUAAGCAGGAGGAGAGACUCCCAGGAAGACACAGGACAGGCUGUUUCAAGCGAUCAAAGUCUAAG
rnacentral:lncRNA from 1 species